rnacentral:rRNA from 1 species
CCUACGGGUGGCUGCAGUGGGGAAUAUUGCACAAUGGGGGAAACCCUGAUGCAGCGACGCCGCGUGAGUGAAGCAGUAUUUAGUUAUGUAAAGCUCUAUCAGCAGGGAAGAAAAUGACGGUACCUGAGUAAGAAGCCCCGGCUAACUACGUGCCAGCAGCCGCGGUAAUACGUAGGGGGCAAGCGUUAUCCGGAUUUACUGGGUGGAAAGGGAGCGUAAACGGUGAUGCAAGUCAGGAGUGAAAGGCCGGGGCUCAACUCCGGGACUGCUCUUGAAACUGUGUGACUGGAGUGCAGGAGAGGUAAGUGGAAUUCCUGGUGUAGCGGUGAAAUGCGUAGAUAUUAGGAGGAACACCAGUGGCGAAGGCGGCUUACUGGACUGUAACUGACGUUGAGGCUCGAAAGCGUGGGGAGCAAACAGGAUUAGAUACCCCUGUAGUC